UACGGAGGGGGCUAGCGUUGUUCGGAAUUACUGGGCGUAAAGCGCGCGUAGGCGGACCUGCAAGUCGGGUGUGAAAGCCCCGGGCUCAACCUGGGAAUUGCAUUCGAGACUGAAUAGCUAGGGUACGGUAGAGGGAAGUGGAAUUUCCGGUGUAGCGGUGAAAUGCGUAGAUAUCGGAAGGAACAUCAGUGGCGAAAGCGACUUCCUGGACCAGUACCGACGUUCAGGCACGAAAGCGUGGGGAGCAAACAGG
rnacentral:rRNA from 1 species